AUACGUACCUGGUAGGGGAGAUGCCAUGAUCACAAAGGAGGUUUUCCCAGGGCGAGGCUUGUGCAUUGCACUCUGGAUGUGUUGACCCCUGCAAUUUCCCCAAAUGUGCGAAACUUGACUGCAUAAUUUGUGGUAGUGGGGGACUGUGUUCAUGCUCUCCCCUU